rfam:Desulfosporosinus youngiae DSM 17734 chromosome, whole genome shotgun sequence.
CGCGGGGUGGAGCAGUGGUAGCUCGUCGGGCUCAUAACCCGAAGGUCGUCGGUUCAAAUCCGGCCCCCGCAA